AGUUUGAUGGUGGCUCAGGAUGAACGCUAGCUACAGGCUUAACACAUGCAAGUCGAGGGGAAACGGCAUUAAGUGCUUGCACUUUUUGGACGUCGACCGGCGCACGGGUGAGUAACGCGUAUCCAACCUUCCCAUGACUAAGGGAUAACCUGCCGAAAGGCAGACUAAUACCUUAUGGUCUUCACUGACGGCAUCAGAUGUGAAGUAAAGAUUUAUCGGUUAUGGAUGGGGAUGCGUCUGAUUAGCUUGUUGGCGGGGUAACGGCCCACCAAGGCAACGAUCAGUAGGGGUUCUGAGAGGAAGGUCCCCCACAUUGGAACUGAGACACGGUCCAAACUCCUACGGGAGGCAGCAGUGAGGAAUAUUGGUCAAUGGGCGAGAGCCUGAACCAGCCAAGUAGCGUGCAGGAUGACGGCCCUAUGGGUUGUAAACUGCUUUUGUAUGGGGAUAAAGUCAAUCACGUGUGAUUGUUUGCAGGUACCAUACGAAUAAGGACCGGCUAAUUCCGUGCCAGCAGCCGCGGUAAUACGGAAGGUCCGGGCGUUAUCCGGAUUUAUUGGGUUUAAAGGGAGCGUAGGCUGGAGAUUAAGUGUGUUGUGAAAUGUAGACGCUCAACGUCUGACUUGCAGCGCAUACUGGUUUCCUUGAGUACGCACAACGUUGGCGGAAUUCGUCGUGUAGCGGUGAAAUGCUUAGAUAUGACGAAGAACUCCGAUUGCGAAGGCAGCUGACGGGAGCGCAACUGACGCUGAAGCUCGAAGGUGCGGGUAUCGAACAGGAUUAGAUACCCUGGUAGUCCGCACAGUAAACGAUGGAUGCCCGCUGUUGGUACCUGGUAUCAGCGGCU
rnacentral:rRNA from 1 species